UACGAAGGGGGCUAGCGUUGCUCGGAAUCACUGGGCGUAAAGGGUGCGUAGGCGGCCAACUAAGUCGGAUGUGAAAUCCCCAAGCUUAACUUGGGAACUGCAUCCGAUACUGGAUGGCUUGAAUCCGGGAGAGGGAUGCAGAAUUCCAGGUGUAGCGGUGAAAUGCGUAGAUAUCUGGAGGAAUACCGGUGGCGAAGGCGGCAUCCUGGACCGGCAUUGACGCUGAGGAGCGAAAGCUAGGGGAGCAAACGGG
rnacentral:rRNA from 1 species